rnacentral:rRNA from 1 species
ACUACGGGCGGCAGCAGUGAGGAAUAUUGGUCAAUGGGCGGAAGCCUGAACCAGCCAAGUAGCGUGCAGGAUGACGGCCCUACGGGUUGUAAACUGCUUUUAUACGGGAAUACCGCGCCUUACGUGUAGGGCUUUGCAUGUACCGUAUGAAUAAGGACCGGCUAAUUCCGUGCCAGCAGCCGCGGUAAUACGGAAGGUCCGGGCGUUAUCCGGAUUUAUUGGGUUUAAAGGGAGCGUAGGCCGCAUGUCAAGCGUGCUGUGAAAUGUCCGGGCUCAACCCGGGCCUUGCAGCGCGAACUGGCGUGCUUGAGUCCGCGGAAAGCAGGCGGAAUUCGUCGUGUAGCGGUGAAAUGCUUAGAUAUGACGAAGAACCCCGAUUGCGAAGGCAGCUUGCUGCAGCGGAACUGACGCUGAUGCUCGAAAGCGCGGGUAUCGAACAGGAUUAGAUACCCCGGUAGUC